UUGAAAUCCAUCGACAUUUUCCAAAAUUCCCUUAUCAAUGCACGAGUUUCCUUUCUUAAUUAACAUGUGAAGUUCCUUGUUCAACAAUGAUUUUUAGGCCAAAUCAGAGGAUGCAGGUUGUACCAUUGAAGAGAGAAAAUUAUGAGAAAACUACAAUAUAUGAGAGGCUUGGUUGAUACCUUCAGAAAAGCUACAUCCCAAUAAUGUUGUGGGUUACACCUUCUGGCUUGAAAAUCAGCUUCAUAACAAGAAAGUUGCAACACUAUAUUGGUGGAUAAUUGCAUUAAAUAAAUGCUGUAAUGGUGCAUUUGUUUUUAGAUUUCUAUUAACCUGGUACCAAAAAGUUGGAGAGCAAGGACCUUAUAUCAGUGGUGUUUAUACUCCAAAAUUGCAGUAUCGGUGGUGUUUAUACUCCAAAAUUGCAGUAUCAGUGGUGUUUAGAUUCCAAAACCUAUCUAAAGUAAUCUGUCAUUUGUUCUUCAAAGAGAUUGUGUAUCUGUUACCCCAUGUCAGGUUCAGUACCUCUGGGUUCAAGAUCUAUAGCUACAAGUAUUUUUGACUAGAUUGUGAUCAUAUAUGUGCUAAUUCAUGCAGAUACGCAUGCUCUUUGAACUUUUGAAAGGAAUGGAUGAAAUCAUCAUCAGAGCUUCUGCAAAUGGGAUCUCUCCUGUAAGCCCCGCUAUAGUUACUUCACUGGUCUGAACUUUGAGUAACUUGAUAUAUGUGUCUCCCAGACAAAAAUAUUUUUAUUUAUUAGUUGUAUACAUCGUAGGUUAAUACUCGUGGAUGUUGAAGAAGUUAAAUGCUAUGUACUCUUUAUUAGUUUGGUUUGAAAUGAAAAGGAUGGCAAGCUUCUUCAGUUUAUUAGUUUUUUGUUUGAAA